CGCUGCGCCCGUUUCAUUCCAGACGGUGGGGCUCUCGGCCAACUAUGACGCUGCUCUCUUAAAGCUCACAGCCAGCCACUGGGGGCUGAUGUCUGUCUGGGUUGCUUGUUGAUUGACAGGUCUGUGCGGCUGCUUUUUUUUUAUUAAGGUGGCGCCGGUGAGAUUUACCCCGCCCAUUCUCGCUCCCCCUGGUCCCACCAACUCCAGUGAAUCUCCUCUCUGUGUAGAAAAAAAACAGAAUGCCUGUGUGACCAAACUCUGGACGCCGUUUCCCGAUAGCUAAACAACCGUGCGUAUGUAGAAUGAAGUUUUUAACAAACACUACGGAUUGCAGCACAUAACAAAUUAAGUGUUUAACUAAACCACAGAUUGCAGUACCAAAAUAAAAUAAAAACGCAGUUACACUGGACAAACAUACGUACAAGGCCGGUGGUGGCUGGCCCGCUCCAGGAGGCUGAGGUGCGGGAGGUUCCUCCACCCCCUCUGGACAUCGAGGGGGCCCGUCGUACUCUGUUCGUUCCACACUGGAUUUGAGACGUCGGGCGAGGGGCCUUCAGUACCUCAUGGACUGGGAGGGGUAUGGUCCGGAGGAGAAGAUGCUGGGUUCCGUUGGAGGACGUAUUGGAUCCUUAUAUGCUGCAAGACUUCCACUGUCUCCAUCCGGAUCGCCCUGCACCUCGCCCUCCGGGUCGUCCCUGAGGUCUGUGUCGACGUGCUGCUGGAUACACGUGUCGGGGGGGGGGGGAGUACUGUCACGACUUAUGCCAAAGUCGUUCCCUCUCCUUGUUUGGGCGGUGUUCGGCGGUCGACGUCACCGAUCUUCUACCGAUCACUGAUCCAUUUUCCAUUGGUUUUGUCUCGUCUUCCUUCACACCUGGUUCCAUCAAUUACAUGUUGUGUAUUUAACCCUCUGUUUCCCCUCAUGUCCUUGGAGAUUUGUUUGUAUGUUAGUGCUAUUAUGUGUUGGUGCGCAACGGGUUUUGUACCCAUUUUAUUAUUUUUUUGUAUGUUUUGGAGUUUGUUUGUCUUUCUUAUUAAAUGACUCCAAGUUUGUUCUCC